AUCUACAGCCGCGCCACCAUGAACACAGCUCUCAACUGAUCUCAGAAACUCAGCAGAGUCAGGCCUGAUUGUACUUGGAUGAGAAUCCACCUGGGAAUACUGGGUGUUGUACUGG
rnacentral:rRNA from 1 species